rnacentral:rRNA from 1 species
GGUUAAGCGACUAAGCGUACACGGUGGAUGCCCUGGCAGUCAGAGGCGAUGAAGGGCGUGCUAAUCUGCGAUAAGCGCCGGUAAGGUGAUAUGAACCGUUAUAACCGGCGAUACCCGAAUGGGGAAACCCAGUGUGACUCGUCACACUAUCAUUAACUGAAUCCAUAGGUUAAUGAGGCGAACCGGGGGAACUGAAACAUCUAAGUACCCCGAGGAAAAGAAAUCAACCGAGAUUCCCCCAGUAGCGGCGAGCGAACGGGGAGGAGCCCAGAGCCUGAAUCAGCAUGUGUGUUAGUGGAAGCGUCUGGAAAGGCGCGCGAUACAGGGUGACAGCCCCGUACACAAAAGCGCAUGUGCUGUGAGCUCGAUGAGUAGGGCGGGACACGUGGUAUCCUGUCUGAAUAUGGGGGGACCAUCCUCCAAGGCUAAAUACUCCUGACUGACCGAUAGUGAACCAGUACCGUGAGGGAAAGGCGAAAAGAACCCCGGCGAGGGGAGUGAAAAAGAACCUGAAACCGUGUACGUACAAGCAGUGGGAGCCCCACCACCAAAGCAUUUGCUGUACCGCGUUGACGGAGCGAAGCGACGUCAAACCGAUAAAACAGCAGUGUAAAGUGAGCCGCAGGGCGCUUUGCGCGACAGCGCAAAGGCAGGCGGUUUCGCGUAGCGAAAGCGAAUGCUUUGGGGUGGGGUGACUGCGUACCUUUUGUAUAAUGGGUCAGCGACUUAUAUUCUGUAGCAAGGUUAACCGAAUAGGGGAGCCGGAGGGAAACCGAGUCUUAAUUGGGCGUUAAGUUGCAGGGUAUAGACCCGAAACCCGGUGAUCUAGCCAUGGGCAGGUUGAAGGUUGGGUAACACUAACUGGAGGACCGAACCGACUAAUGUUGAAAAAUUAGCGGAUGACCUGUGGCUGGGGGUGAAAGGCCAAUCAAACCGGGAGAUAGCUGGUUCUCCCCGAAAGCUAUUUAGGUAGCGCCUCGUGAAUUCAUCUCCGGGGGUAGAGCACUGUUUCGGCUAGGGGGCCAUCCCGGCUUACCAACCCGAUGCAAACUGCGAA